rnacentral:tRNA from 2 species
UGGUCGGGAUAGCUCAGCUGGUAGAGCA